rnacentral:misc_RNA from 1 species
UUUCCGUAGGUGAACCUGCGGAAGGAUCAUUCAUAAUAAGUGUUUUAUGGCACUUUUUAAAAAUCCAUAUCCACCUUGUGUGCAAUGUUAGAUCUCGUCAAUCUUGGCGAGAUUUUUAUACAUCAACUCAUUCUUUAACUAAUUUGUCUGAAAAAUAUUAUGAAUACUUAAUUCAAAAUACAACUUUCAACAACGGAUCUCUUGGCUCUC